GGAUGUGAGGGCGAUCUGGCUGCAACAUCUGUCACCCCAUUGAUCGCCAGGGUUGAUUCGGCUGAUCUGGCUGGCUAGGCGGGUGUCCCCUUCCACCCUCACCGCUCCAUGUGCGUCCCUCCUGAAGCUGCGUGCUCGGUGGAAGAGGACGAUGUCCCAGGUAUAGAAGGAGGGUACCGAGGUCUCCAGUCUUCGGUCCCGGGUAUAUGAUAGCUAUACCCAAAUUACGCAAAUGCAGAAGGCAUCCGGGAGGCCCCCAUCCCCUGGGGGUGCUAUUGAGGCACCCGGCCUAGGG
rfam:Anolis carolinensis chromosome 5, whole genome shotgun sequence.